GUCUAUGGUUGAAGCAACCAAAGAAAUCAAAGAUCAUUCACUGCGAAAACAGAGACUUAUUAAGGCAUAUCAUUUACUUGAAUAUUUAAAAAAGGCUUGGAAUCAAACAGCAAAUAUUUUUGAAUUUCCAUUGUCAGUGCAAUAUUUUUCAACUGGUAUUGUGCUCGCAUUGCUUAUAAUAACCCAAUUAAAUAAAAUUGAUUUAUUGUCGUUGGGUCUUUUUGGGUUUUAUAUUAUUGGUUCAUGUGUUGUUGGUUUUGUUGGGGAAGAAAUGCGACAAUUAGUAAAUAAUAAAUAAUUCUGAAUGUGUGUUUAUGA